rnacentral:rRNA from 1 species
CAGUAGCGCGGUAAUACGGAGGGUGCAAGCGUUAAUCGGAAUUACUGGGCGUAAAGCGCACGCAGGCGGUCUGACAAGUCAGAUGUGAAAUCCCCGGGCUUAACCUGGGAACUGCAUUUGAAACUGUCAGGCUGGAGUCUUGUAGAGGGGGGUAGAAUUCCAGGUGUAGCGGUGAAAUGCGUAGAGAUCUGGAGGAAUACCGGUGGCGAAGGCGGCCCCCUGGACAAAGACUGACGCUCAGGUGCGAAAGCGUGGGGAGCAAACAGGAUUAGAUACCCGGGUAGUCCCUGUCUCUUAUACA